rnacentral:rRNA from 1 species
AGAAUUUGCCUGGCGGCACUAGCGCGGUGGUCCCACCUGACCCCAUGCCGAACUCAGAAGUGAAACGCCGUAGCGCCGAUGGUAGUGUGGGGUCUCCCCAUGUGAGAGUAGGGAACUGCCAGGCAUCAAAUAAAGCAGAAAGCCCGGUCGAAAGACCGGGCUUUUUGUUUUNGUAGGUGGGGUAACGGCUCACCUAGGCGACGAUCCCUAGCUGGUCUGAGAGGAUGACCAGCCACACUGGAACUGAGACACGGUCCAGACUCCUACGGGAGGCAGCAGUGGGGAAUAUUGCACAAUGGGCGCAAGCCUGAUGCAGCCAUGCCGCGUGUGUGAAGAAGGCCUUCGGGUUGUAAAGCACUUUCAGCGGGGAGGAAGGCGUUGAGGUUAAUAACCUUGUCGAUUGACGUUACCCGCAGAAGAAGCACCGGCUAACUCCGUGCCAGCAGCCGCGGUAAUACGGAGGGUGCAAGCGUUAAUCGGAAUUACUGGGCGUAAAGCGCACGCAGGCGGUCUGUCAAGUCGGAUGUGAAAUCCCCGGGCUCAACCUGGGAACUGCAUUCGAAACUGGCAGGCUAGAGUCUUGUAGAGGGGGGUAGAAUUCCAGGUGUAGCGGUGAAAUGCGUAGAGAUCUGGAGGAAUACCGGUGGCGAAGGCGGCCCCCUGGACAAAGACUGACGCUCAGGUGCGAAAGCGUGGGGAGCAAACAGGAUUAGAUACCCUGGUAGUCCACGCCGUAAACGAUGUCGAUUUGGAGGUUGUGCCCUUGAGGCGUGGCUUCCGGAGCUAACGCGUUAAAUCGACCGCCUGGGGAGUACGGCCGCAAGGUUAAAACUCAAAUGAAUUGACGGGGGCCCGCACAAGCGGUGGAGCAUGUGGUUUAAUUCGAUGCAACGCGAAGAACCUUACCUGGUCUUGACAUCCACAGAACUUUGCAGAGAUGGUUUGGUGCCUUCGGGAACUGUGAGACAGGUGCUGCAUGGCUGUCGUCAGCUCGUGUUGUGAAAUGUUGGGUUAAGUCCCGCAACGAGCGCAACCCUUAUCCUUUGUUGCCAGCGGUUCGGCCGGGAACUCAAAGGAGACUGCCAGUGAUAAACUGGAGGAAGGUGGGGAUGACGUCAAGUCAUCAUGGCCCUUACGACCAGGGCUACACACGUGCUACAAUGGCAUAUACAAAGAGAAGCGACCUCGCGAGAGCAAGCGGACCUCAUAAAGUAUGUCGUAGUCCGGAUUGGAGUCUGCAACUCGACUCCAUGAAGUCGGAAUCGCUAGUAAUCGUAGAUCAGAAUGCUACGGUGAAUACGUUCCCGGGCCUUGUACACACCGCCCGUCACACCAUGGGAGUGGGUUGCAAAAGAAGUAGGUAGCUUAACCUUCGGGAGGGCGCUUACCACUUUGUGAUUCAUGACUGGGGUGAAGUCGUAACAAGGUAACCGUAGGGGAACCUGCGGUUGGAUCACCU